UUAUUACACCCACCUCUAGAUUAUUUAUAAAUUGGCUGUAUUUCACACACACCCAUAGGCUGCGCCUAAUCAAAAAGAAAAAAUAAAUGGCUGAAGCGCUAUCGAAUGGAUUGUUGGAUUCAUAUUGCUUUGCUCUCUGGUGACUGAUAUGACUGAACCUCACUGUAGCCAAAUAAACAUAUCAUUAGAGGCAAAUAGAUUAAACAAGAUACAUUAACCACGUUUGCGUGCGUCAUAACAUGUUGACUUUGCACACUUUGCAGAAAUAAGGCAAAGUACCGACUCGCGUUUUCGCUGGGUGCUGCCUGUGUAAUGAACUCCCGGGGGUGCUAGGUAACUUGGCACCGUAGCCUACUUUGCCGCAGCUACAGUAGUCGACGAAGCUUCCCGGGUACGGCAUUCGUUCAUCAACCGGCUCUGCAGCGGGGGGAAGCGGAGAAAAUCAAGUCCCCUGUCCGGUGGCCACCGCCUGGGACGUUGGGUAGACUGCGCGUCACGGAAGAUAUGACAGAUUCUUCAUCUUCCGCUACAGUCCGCGGCGAAGUGUGAUGUGUGUUCUGCUGUGCUCUGUGGAGUGGGAAUGAGACUCAGAGGGAGGGAUCUAGAAGAUUCUACGGACUCCUGGAUACCGAACAUUUUGGGUGUGCAGAGCGUCAGACUCCGCCUUCGACUGGAUCACCAUGACGACAAGGGGAGGGGCUGCUGGCAAUUGGUGGACAUGAAUAAAGAGGCGGGGCCUAGUGGGAGAAGACUAACAAGUCAGACUCCACCCCUGUGCUCAGAGAGUGAGUUCCAGUCUCUAUAAUAUAAUCUCUAUAUCUAUAGGAAUAUCUAAAUCGCUUUCAUCUCUAUAUCUAUAGAUAUAUCUAAAUCUAUGUGUAUAUAGAUCUUUAUCCACUGUAUCUCUCUCUCUCUCUCUAUCCAUGUCUCUCUCUCUCUCUCUCUCUCUGUCGAGUCAGAAAUUUCCUUUGCUCACUGAAGUUACCAGCUGUUAGCAGUGGCAUUUAACAUCCAGUCAUCACAGCUUCUGUGCACAAAAAAACAAGAACAAAAAGAGAAAAAAAGCGUGCAGUCAAGCUGAACGUUUUUGCAAGUGACAAGUGACAGAGACAGACUUUUGGGGAAGGAGGGAGAUACUUUGGAGAGAGCUAGCGACUAGGUCAACCGGUCGGAAGUUUGAACGUGGUGUGCAGCCCGUUGGGUUAAAUGUAAGUGAAGAGUUACAGAAAGUGUGUCAUACAUAUGGGCCUGUUUUUUUAGCGUGUUCCUCUUUCUGAUGUAUUGAGAGUAGAAGGACAGACACAAACACACACACAUACACACACACAUACACACACACACAUCUGAUUUUUCUUUUUAUCUUAAUUUGUAUCCACUAUUCUUCAGUGCAUUGAGAGUAGAAUGACAGACACACGCACACACACACACACACAGAGAGAGAGAGAGAGAGAGAGAGAGAAUAUAUUCUUGAAGUACCGUAAUUUCCGGACUAUAAGCCGCUACUUUUUUCCCACACUUUGAACCUCGCGGCUUAAACAACGAUGCGGCUAAUUUAUGGAUUAUGAUACCUGUGACUGUAUACGGUGGCUUUGUGCUUACGGUGGCUUUGUGGAGCUAGGAUGCUAGCACAGAUGCAGCCGCAUGGAUGCUUAGCUCCACGCGAUUUCUCAGUAUCUCUCAAUAACUUAACUAAUGUCAAAAUAACCACAGUCUACCGGCGUAGACAGAACACAACUCAAAACACUUUAGAAAAUAAAAUAAAAGUUUACAACAAUACAAAUCCAGUCUUCAAGUUCUUUAGCUCACUGGUUUCAAACUAGCGUCUGUCUUCAAUCUAACGUUCUACCUGAACAGGAAGAACUACCUUAUUUCUGAUUGACUCUUGCAACUUGCUCUCUUAAAGCAUCGUAACCUCCAAAACUAAUAAUAUGCAUCACUAUUGUAUUACUUUUUAUAUUCAUUUUAGCCUGUGUAAAGUUAAUUUGU
ensembl:lncRNA